rnacentral:lncRNA from 1 species
CUUUGCCACUCUGCACCUGGACUCGAGCAAAAGGUGCUGCCAGCCACAGAGGCUUCUCUCAGGCAAAUCUACACUCUUAAGGAUCCUGUGACAUUACAACAUAAGUUGAGCGGGACGAAAUGGAUGUACUUAUGAACCAGAACGUGCCGACAUCGUCUCAGAUAAAGAGAGAAACUCACUGAAAGAAUAUGACUGAAGUAAGAAUCUGCUGUGAAGAAAUAAGAACAAAAGUGCCUACUGGUAGCUACUGCUCCUCUUUUGUACAUGGAGAAGAAAGUGGGUAUGAACCUAAACAGGAUGCUGAUCACAUUUUCAGAGAUUAUGAUAUGAGUACUGGAGAAUGAAUUAGCUUCCACUGAGAGUGUUUGAAAAGAAAUUGUACCUUAAACAAAAGGUGAAGAUGUUGUAAACAUUUGGAGAAAACAUUUAGAGAUAAAGUUAUUAAAGACUGUAGGGAAUUCCAAAGAAUGAAGCAGAAAUAUAAAGAGUAGAGUCAAGAAAAUCAGGAGAAAAGGAAAUGGAAUAAUGACUCAGAGGAGAAGAAAUAGUGAAUAGGAGCAACUGUACAGUAUUAAGAAUACUGUGUUCUAUGAGUUCUCUGCUUCAUUUUUCUAUUUUCAGAUACACACACACAUGCGCGCGCACACACACACACACACACACACACACACACACACGCAGACAUUAUGGUAUAGAAAACUCUUAGGUUAGCUGAAAUAUCCUGAUUCCUUCCCCACAGUCUAAAUCAUUUUGUUGGAUUUGUAUUUCUUUAGGUUUUUCUAGGAUACCUGGUUAGCUUACUUGAAUUCUGAUACUUUAAUUUAUAGUUUAAUGAGCUAAUAAUUCUUUACAUUAUAUUUGAAUUUUAAUAAUUAACAGUAUUUUUCACACUAAUAAAGUGGAUGUAAAUUUUUCUGAAAGUCUACAAACUAAAAAUAUUAAAAGUAGAAUUUUUUUCCUGUCCUUUCUUGAUUCACAUCGCAGGCAGCAGUCUUUUGUGCAUACAUACAAAAUUGACCUUGGAGAGAAGGAACAUAAACAAAAUUAAGUGGCUAUUCAAGAAGGCACUUCUCUUCAACCCUCAUAGUUUCUAAAGGCUAGUAUUUAAAAGCCGUCUGCUAAUUUUCUCUGGUCAUUUCCCUAAGCCAGGUCCGCAUUUUAACAUAGCAUAAUCACAAAUUCAUUGCAAUGUUUAAUUCUCUUCUUUCUUGAAUGGAAAGUUAGAGCAGGUGAGUAGUGAAUUUUCUGAAGGCAGAUAGAUCAUUGUGCUUUAGGCUCAAAUAAUAUGCUACUGUAUUCUAUCAGUCCCUUAAACUACAGAUGAGAGUGAAGGGAGUAAUGGGAUGGGAAGCAAGGUAGAGCUUCCUUCCACAGUGGUGACCUCCUGAGCAUGGAGGGAAAAUUGAACUGACUCAUGCUUGGAACCAGAUGAUGAAUACCUGAGAGGAAAUCCUCUGAGUGGUGUUUAUUUUCCACGCUUUAUGCUGAUCUAAAAAAUGUUCCAGUUCAUAUUCUCCGUGGGAUGUUCACAGUUGCUGAAAUUACUGCAAUUCGCAGGCCAUAAUAUUCUUGGGGAAUAAAGCUCAACAAACUAUAGAGAAUAUUGGCCAGUCAUUAAUAUUAGCAUAUUAAUGCAAUCAGAGUGACUCUAGAAGGAAUCUGAAAGAGAAAAAUAAAAUGAUUGUAUUUUACGUGACCUUUCCUUUAAAUAAGCAUAAGGAAAUAGUUGUGAGAACGUCUGUGAAUAAUUUCUAAGAUCCAUAUCAAUUCUCAAUCACAGAGAGAAGAUUUUUAUCCUUUCUUUGAACUAUUCAAGGUUUUAAAAGCUUUAUGUAUUCCUUUAUAUAUGUAUAUAUGUAUGUAUGUAUGUAUGUAUGCAUUUAUAGGGGCAGUUACUCAAGUGUGUGUAAGACACUGGCUAAAAUUUUGACCUGAGUUUUCUAGAAAAGCACCCUAUAUUUUAGUUAACUUAUCUAGUUAAUCAAUUUUUCAAAUUAGUUUUUAUUUUAAUGAGUAUGCACACAUUAUAUCUAUCUCUGUAACUAUGCAUGCAGGUAUAAAUAUAUAUAUAUCAUCUGUCUAUACACAUAGAGAACAUAAUGAAAUUCUAGUUUCUGAUAGCUUUUGUUAACAUUUUUAUGUUUAAACUUUUUGUAUUUAAAAUGUUUCUAUCUUUCAAACAUGAAAAAGUGUCUUAGAGCUCUUUAGGAGAUUUUUAAAAC